CUGCUGAGCGCAUGCGCGAUAUUCGGGAUUGGCUGUGCCGCCCACGCAUGCGCAUUUGCUUAAACUGGAGACUUCUGCAGAUGCGGAAAUCCAAAAGCAAAACGCACAAAAUGCUGGAGGAACUCAGGGGGGGCAGAAAGCAACUAUGGAGAGGAGAGAACCGAGACCCAUCUUCAGGACUGGAGAGGGUGGUUCGGGUUCUAUCGAGGUCCAAUAGUGGAGAAGUUCGAUUCAAAAGGUUCAGAGGAACAUCUAAACAAACCAGAUGGAUUUUGGAAACAAGUCCUGAUGAAGUUAAAAUAUAAAUUGUUGGCCGCAUUGAGCAAAGCCAGUAGCACAGGGAACAUUUACUGGUAGAGGGAAGAAUGAAUUCAAUCAAAAACCAACAAAUUCUGGAAACAGACAUCACACCGUCGGUAAAAAAGCUGAAGAUGAAAAGAGGAUGGCUUCUACAACAAGAUAGUGAUCCUAAACACAGCUCAGAAUUCACAAUGGACUACCUCAAGAGGUGCAAGCUGAAGAUUUUGCCCUGCUCCUCACAGUCCCCUGACCUAAACAUCAUCGAGAAUCUGUGGAUUGACCUCAAAAGCGUAGUGCAUGAAAGAUGGCCCAAGAAUCUCAGAGAAGCCUUUUGCAAAUAAGAUUGGGCAAAAAUCCUACGAACAAGAAUUGAAAGACUCUUAGCUGGCAAGAACAAGUGUUUACAAGCUGUGAUACUUGUCAAAGAGGGAUGUUACUAAGUACAGGGUGCCCAAACUUUUGCUUCAGGCCCUUUUCCUCUUUUGUUAUUUUGAAACUGUAAAAGAUGGAAGUAAAAGUUUUCUUGCUUAAAAUAUUAAAGAAAUGUGUCAUCUUUA